rnacentral:rRNA from 1 species
UACAGAGGUCCCAAGCGUUGUUCGGAUUCACUGGGCGUAAAGGGUGCGUAGGCGGUCGGGUAAGUCUGAUGUGAAAUCUCACAGCUUAACUGUGAAACUGCAUUGGAUACUAUUCGGCUUGAGAGUUGGAGGGGGACUGGAAUUCUUGGUGUAGCAGUGAAAUGACGUAGAUAUCAAGAGGAACACCAGUGGCGAAGGCGAGUCCCUGGACAACUUCUGACGCUGAGGCACGAAAGCUAGGGGAGCAAACAGG